rnacentral:snRNA from 1 species
UCUUAAUUUUAUCUCUCGA